GUUGAACGCUGGCGGCAGGCCUAAAACAUGCAAGUCGAGCGGAUGAACGGCGCUUGUUCCUGUAUUCCGCGGCGGGCGGAUGUGUCAUUUCUAGGCAUCUGCCUGGUAGUGGGGGAUUACGUUCGGUAAGGGGCGCUAAUACCGCAUACGACCUUCGGGAGAACGUGGGGGUUCUUUGGUUCUCACGCUAUCCGCUGUGCCUAGGACGGAUUCGCUAGUUGGUGUGGUAAUGUCCUACCCAGGCGCCGUUCCGUAGCUAGUCUGAGAGGAUGAUCUGUCACACUGGAACUGAGACACGGUCCAGACUCCUACGGGAGGCAGCAGUGUGGAAUAUUGGACAAUGGGCGAAAGCCUGAUCCAGCCAUGCCGCGUGUGUGAAGAAGGUCUUCUGAUUGUAAAGCUCUUUUAGUUGGGAGGAAGGGCAGUGAUAUUAAACCUGGCUGUUUUGACGUUACCAACAAAGUAAGCACCGGCUAACUUCGUG
rnacentral:rRNA from 1 species